AGGCAGCAGUGGGGAAUAUUGGACAAUGGGCGAAAGCCUGAUCCAGCCAUGCCGCGUGAGUGAUGAAGGCCCUAGGGUUGUAAAGCUCUUUCAACGGUGAAGAUAAUGACGGUAACCGUAGAAGAAGCCCCGGCUAACUUCGUGCCAGCAGCCGCGGUAAUACGAAGGGGGCUAGCGUUGUUCGGAAUUACUGGGCGUAAAGCGCACGUAGGCGGAUUGUUAAGUUAGGGGUGAAAUCCCAGGGCUCAACCCUGGAACUGCCUUUAAUACUGGCAAUCUAGAGUCCGAGAGAGGUGAGUGGAAUUCCGAGUGUAGAGGUGAAAUUCGUAGAUAUUCGGAGGAACACCAGUGGCGAAGGCGGCUCACUGGCUCGGUACUGACGCUGAGGUGCGAAAGCGUGGGGAUCAAACAGGAUUAGAUACCCUGGUAG
rnacentral:rRNA from 1 species